GCCUAUGGCCAUGCCAUCCUGAACAAGCCCGAUCCUGUCUGAUCUUGGAAGCUAAGCAGGGUUGGGCCUGGUUAGUACUUGGAUGAGAGACCACCUAGGAAGACCAGGUGCUCUAGACG
rfam:Pteropus alecto contig54542, whole genome shotgun sequence.